AAUGUAAAAGCCCUGCACGAGGGACGCGGCGCCAAAUUGGGAAAUCCAGCUCAUCGUGCACGCUAUGUGCUGCCAUGACUAGGGGGUGCUUAGGUAGUUGCAUGGGUCUCCGUCUCUCCUUACCCGAUUCUUGGCCGUCCUUGGUCGUCUAUCUCUCUCUCUCUCUCUCUCGCCUCAGUCGUGGCAUGGCGAUCGGAAUCCCCUAGCCCCGCCCCAAGGGUUGUCUUCCUCCUCUCAUCUCUUCCACAAGGUGUAGAUGCCAAAGCAAAGGAGAUCGUGCGCCUUAGUCGUGGGAUGGCGAUCGGAAUCCCCAAGUCCCGCCCCAAGGGUUGUCUCCCGCCUCUCAUCUUGCGCUGGAUCUCAGAUUUUUUGGGGUUUAAUCCUACGAAACGAACUGUCUUGAUUAGCGUCAUUAAAAUCUUGAUCCAGUUUCCCUUUUUUAUUUUUUUUUUGCUCUGCUUUUUUUUUCGAGAUUCUGGGUGAUUCUGGGAUUCUGCUUUUAAUUUUAUGUACGAUUUGGCGGGUUUCUUUUUUUUUUUUCGAAAAAGAAUUCUUUCAUUCCUUUCCUUCCUUAUCUUUAAUUCAUAGAGAAUUCCUUUCCAGACGCAAUUUUCUUGCAAUUCCGUCAUGAUCGCUUUCCAUUUCUGGCUUCGCAGAAAUGGCACCGAAAUUUCAUUGAUCCUAAAUACCAGGGCGCAUCAUACCUAAAUUUUAUUGUUCUUGGUGUUACAUCAAUCUUAUGGUUCUUUACGUUUCUUAGCAUAGCAACAUGGAAUCUCCUGAUCGGGGUUAGUCUUAAAUCCAGAUGUUGACACGGGUUUCUUUUUUUUUGUAUUCCCAUUAUUUAUUAUGGUUCAUUAAGUAUUACGUUUGUUGAUAUUGUUUCCAAUAAUCUGAUUCCUUUAGGAUAUCAUUCUUCUGCCAUUGUCCAUUACGUCUACCAUCUGAUUUAACCAGAUUAAGGUUUUCUCAUUAAUAAGCAAAUUCUCAAUCAUGUACUGAUACUGGUCGGCAACCGGACCAGUAUAGUACUGGUGCAGGAUCACACACUAACUUUUGCUGUUGGUCAGUCUGAGGCGCAUGAGAGAGAAGAUUGGGGAUGGGGUUUGGGGGGAGGGGGAAGGAAAGGAUAGGUGGCAGCGACGCCACGAGGAGAGGCGGAAGAGGAGAGGCAGAUAGAAAGAGAGAAAUAGAGAAGUAAAAAAAACAAUAUAGCUAUGGCAGCUACUAGGUGGUGCAUCCUCCUCUACUAGAUUGAACUGUGCAAAAUCGCUUGUUCCUUGUCCUGGUUGGCAAUCGAACUGGUAAAUAGUGGCCUGCAUUGAUAGGAUCAAUUGGUAAGGGCGGUAUUUUAAUCCAUGACUCUUAUAAGAUGGUUGGAAAGUGUGCUAUAUUUUAUGGAUCUAAAUAUUGAAACUCCAAGAAACAAUAUAUUGAAGAAGUUAAUGCUGUUCAAACAAGAAAUUUUGUAAUCGAUGUGUUUACUAAAAAAGAAAAAAAAAUAAAGAAGCUUGCAUUUGUGAACAUUUUACAAUAUUUCUUAUUAGAGAUAAGAUGAAGAUAGCUAUGGCUUGCGUUAUCCAGAGAUUUGUGCACAUGAUGUUUUGUAUGGUUUCAAGUGAAAUUACUUCCUUUUUGAGUGAACUGUCUGAACUUAUUAAAUCUCAAUCUAUUUCUAUGAGAAAUAUUGAAUUUUGGUCUAUUUAUUUCUAGACUUAACAAACCUGUCAUUACAACUUUGAAGCGAUAUAGAACGUAUCAGAUCAGUUUAAAAAAUUGGAAUGGUCCACCAGUUCAUGACAUCAAGCCUUCAACUGGGGGAAUCAAUCACAUGGGGCAAUCAAAUAAGAAUCGAUCCCAACUUGAAGAUACAUACUUUUCCUCUGCUUUUCUUUUUUUUAUCUUUUUCUGUCUGUCUCCCCCUUUUCCUCUGCAGAUUACAGGUUCAUAUGGCAUGCUAUAUCAGUAAAAGAGGAUUUAUGUUGUUUAGUUUGACUAUUAGAGUAGUGGUCAAGGCAGGAAAGGAUUUUGUACCUGUCUGAAAAUAGUUAGAUCUAUGGCUUAUUGCUGUUGCUGUUGUUGUUUUUGUCGUUAGAUCUUUUUUGAUCAUCUGUUUAGUAAUGUUAUCUUGUUAGCCUAAGUAUGUACUCAAAAUCCUCAACUCCAUACAAAUUAUAUGUGAAAAAUCAUGCUUAUAUUUUAUGCACA